GACGAACCUGACGAACGUUAUUCGGAAUCACUGGGCUUAAAGGGUGCGUAGGCUGUGCAGAAAGUUGGGUGUGAAAUCCCUCGGCUUAACCGAGGAACUGCGCUCAAAACUACUGUGCUUGAGUGAGAUAGAGGUGAGCGGAACUUAGGGUGGAGCGGUGAAAUGCGUUGAUAUCCUAAGGAACACCGGUGGCGAAGGCGGCUUCCUGGACCGAUACUGACGCUGAGGCGCGAAAGCUAGGGGAGCAAACGGG
rnacentral:rRNA from 1 species